UCCGGUUCAUCACCGGCGGUCCCCGUAGAGUGCGCCGACCUUGCGAUCGGGUAGCAACUAAGGGCGAGGGUUGCGCUCGUUGCGGGACUUAACCCAACACUUCACAGCACGAGCUGACGACAGCCAUGCACCACCUGUGCAGGAUCUCGAUUUGACGAGUCCUUCCCCUUUCGGUUCAGUACUACCUGCAUGUCAAGCCUAGGUAAGGUUCUUCGCGUAGCGUCGAAUUGAACCACAUGUUCCACCGCUUGUGCGGGCCCCCGUCAAUUCCUUUGAGUUUCAUCCUUGCGGACGUACUCCCCAGGUGGAGGACUUCAUGCGUUAGCGUCGGCACUGAUCCCCAAAGGGACCAACACCUAGUCCUCAACGUUUACAGCGUGGACUAC
rnacentral:misc_RNA from 1 species